AGAGUUUGAUCAUGGCUCAGAGCGAACGCUGGCGGCAGGCCUAACACAUGCAAGUCGAGCGCCCGUAGCAAUACGGGAGCGGCAGACGGGAGAGUAACACGUGGGAACGCGCCCUUCGGUUCGGAAUAACUCAGGGAAACUUGAGCUAAUACCGGAUACGCCCUUACGGGGAAAGAUUUAUUGCCGAAGGAACGGCCCGCGUCCGAUUAGCUAGUUGGUGAGGUAAUGGCUCACCAAGGCGACGAUCGGUAGCUGGUCUGAGAGGAUGACCAGCCUCACUGGGACUGAGACACGGCCCAGACUCCUACGGGAGGCGGCAGUGGGGAAUAUUGGACAAUGGGCGCAAGCCUGAUCCAGCCAUGCCGCGUGGAUGAUGAAGGCCCUAGGGUUGUAAAGUCCUUUUAACGGGGAAGUUAAUGACGGUACCCGUAGAAUAAGCCCCGGCUAACUUCGUGCCAGCAGCCGCGGUAAUACGAAGGGGGCUAGCGUUGCUCGGAAUUACUGGGCGUAAAGCGCACGUAGGCGGCUUUGCAAGCCAGAGGUGAAAUGCCUGAGCUCAACUCAGGAAUGGCCUUUGGGACUGCGAGGCUUUGAGGACUGGAGAGGUGAGUGGAAUUCCCAGUGUAGAGGUGAAAUUCGUAGAUAUUGGGAAGAACACCGGUGGCGAAGGCGGCUCACUGGCCAGUUUCUGACGCUGUAGCGCGAAAGCGUGGGGAUCAAACAGGAUUAGAUACCCUAGUAGUCC
rnacentral:rRNA from 1 species